GGACUGGUUCACUCUCCGAGCCCCCUGGCUGUGGCCAUCUUCAGCCAAACCUGGAGAGAAAAUAUUUAGAGAAAGGGCCUCUCUUCCUUCCUAAGAGGAGCCUGUGCUUGGUGCAUUGGGAGUGGCCCCAGGCUUCUCUCCUGAGAGAGACACCCUAAGCUGCCUCGGGUGUGGUGGUGGUGUUGCAAGAGGAGCAAGCAGAGGAACAAGAGAAAAAGCAGGCCAUGGUAAGAUUGUGGAGACUCCCUGAGUUUGAGGCCAUGUGGACAGCCUCUUCUAUCUCUGAUUAUAUUCUACAGUGAGGGGCAAACCAUUUGCAUAUUGGAGCUGGGAACAACCUUGGAGAUUGUCAAGCUCGCACCCCUCGUAGGUGGGGAAACUGAAGGCCAGAUAGCCAUGGUGGCCACAGCCCAUCGGAACACCCUCUCUUCUCCGCUUCUUGGUGUGGAACAGCCAGCUGUGGGUUUACACAGUGUGAGGUUGUAGGCCACGCCUCAAGGCUACAGCCAACAGCUCUCGGCUCUGCAAUCCAGCCAAGAGGCAAUCGUGAGGCCAGGCCUUGCCCCACUAGGAGCUGUGGACACUCAGUCUGGACCCCCUCUGCAGGGCCUGGGCCUUCCCAUGUGGAACAGACAGCAAAAAUGGAGGCUUUCAGCGCCUAUCUGAAGAGGAGAGGGGAAUUUCCCUUGGUCACCAUCAUACCACUUACCACCCAGCAGUGCCUACAGGAAAGCCAGACCAGGAGAGAGAGCCCUGCUUUUUCUGAUCAACUCCAGACAAAGACUCAACAGUACUGUGUGCAGGGAAAUAAUUUGGUGGCCCUUCAUACAGGGAAAAAACAGACUUACUCUCAGAACAGCAUUUGGCUGCAAGUAACAGAUCUAAAACAUCAGUGACUUAUACAAGUCAAGGGUUUAUUCCUCUCUCAUGCAGCAGACUGGGGGUAAGCAGUCUAAAGCUGACAUGGAAGUUCUGCUCUAUGAAGUCCUUAGGGGCUUCUAUCCCAUUGCUCUGCCCUGCCUAGUUUCUAUUCUCAAGAUUACCUCAUGGUCCAAGACGAUUGCCAAGCUCCAGUUAGCAUGUCUGCAUUCCAGCCAUCAGAAUGUAGGAAAGAAUCAAGAAGCAGAGGCUGCCAACCACCUUUUAAGACUGGUGCUCUGGGCAACUGCCCAGCUGGCCUGCUCAGCUGACUCUGUGUCUGAGGACACUAGGAGGGAUUUUACAAUUUAGAGAAGAUCUGGCCUCAGCCCAAAAGAUAUGACCUUGAUCUUGCGGUCCUCAACAGCAGUCAAGAAAUCAAAAGACACACUGCAUCGGGCAAAUCUGCUGCAAAGGACCUCUUUAAUGUGUUGAAGAGCGAAGAUCUCACCUUGAAGAUUAAGGUGCGCCUGACUCAAGCCAUGGUAUUUUCAAUUUCAUCAUAUGCAUGCGAAAGCUGGAUGAUGAAUAAGGAAGACCGAAGAAGAAUUGAUGCCUUUGAAUUGUGGUGUUGAUGGAGAAUAUUGAAUAUACAUAUCAUGGCCUGCCAAAAGAACGAACAAAUCUGUCUUGGAAGAAGUACAACCAGAAUGCUCCUUAGAAGCAAAGAUGGCAAGACUUCAUCUCACAUAUUUUGGACAUACUAUCAGGAGGGACCAGUCCCUGGAGAAGGACAUCAUGCUUGGUAAAGCAGAGGAUCAGCAAAAAAGAGGAAGACCCUCAACAAGAUGGACUGACACAGUGGCUGCAACAAUUGGCUCAAGCAUAACGAUUGUAAGGAUGCUGCAGGACUGGGCAGUGUUUUGUUCUGUUGUACAUAGGGUCGCUAUGAGUCAGAACGAACUCAACCGCACGUAACAACAACAAAGUCAAGGUUAUGUGCAGUCAAGUGCAGUCCCUAGGUGUUUCAGUUACCAGCAGGGUCAUCCAUGGUGGACAGGUUUCAGCAGAGCUUCCAGACUAAGACAGACUAGGAAAAAAGGCCUGGCGAUCUACUUCCGAAAAUUAAUCAGUGAAAACCCUAUGGAUCACAACAGAAUAUUGUCCAAUAUAAUGCUGGAAGAUGAGCCCUCUUAGUUGGAAGGUAACAGUGGACUCAAACAUAUAAAUGAUCAUGGAGAUGGUGCAGGACCAAGUGAUGCUUCAUUCUGUUACACGUGGGGUCGCCAUGAGUUGGAGGCGACUUGACAGCAGCUAACAAGUCCACUAGAAGGAAGCAGUCACCUGUCUUCCAGCUGCCUGGGACCGUCUGCCGGAGCAAGUGACAUCACAGUGACCAGAAACCACCUCCCCUUUGUCUGGAGCAGUUAUGACGUCAUUCCCUCUGGCAGAGAAGCAGGAUGUUGGCAGCUGGGAUUCCUCGGGGUCCUCCUGAAGUGAUAAUUGCCUUAGAUUUUGUUAUAAAGUGCAGCUGCUAAUUAUCUUGUUAAAUCACAGCCAUAUACUUUUUGGAUUUUUUUUUCUUCUUUGCAAUCCAUUGCAACAGUCUGGGAGAUUAAAUAAAACCACGUACCCUAAACAAAAACAAAACCCAUACACACACAUACACACACACAAUCUCUUCUUUAAAACAAUGUGAAAACAAUUUCAAAAAAUGAAAAGAGCGCAGAUAUGGCAUAAUUAGAUUGCUUCCAUUAAAAAGUCAUCAUUUCAACAUCCCCAUAUAAAUAUCCGCAUCCCGUUGCAUAUUUUAAGCAAUUGCAUAAUAAGCCCCCAAGUGCAAAACAGAGCAAAACUCAUUUCCUGACCACAAAAGGAGAAAGGAGUCACUAUGUGCUCUGCCUUCCAAGGAGAACUGGAUUACAUUCCUCCCACACAGAGUGGAGGGAGAUGGAGUUCAGUGCUCCAGGGGAGAGAAUUAUGACAACACUUAACCUCUGUGACCCACGCUGCUCCAUGCCUCUCCACGCUCUUGGUCAUCAGAAGCAUGCAGCUCUGCUGAGGUCAGAUGGAAGAAAAGGGGGACCUGGCCCCCUCCAUUUGGCCCAGGGAGCCCCAGGCCUGUGGUAAAAAGCGGCCCUGGGUUCCAGCAUCAACAGGUGAGUGAAUGUCAGAGGCGGCCGGGGCAUCGCUGGCAUUACCAGUGACUGACCAUUUCCAGGCUUCCGAUUUUUGUGGCCUUGCUGGAGGUUUGCCGAGCAGGGUCAGAGUAAGGUGCUGGGUCUGGGCCAGUAGUGCAGUGGGAAGCAGAGUGGUAAGGCCCAGACCUGGGUGGCUAGGAUAAGGGUGGGAAGGAGACUUUUCAUUGUCUACUCAUUUGUAUCUUUUGAAUUUUGAGCCAUGUGAAUAUAUUAACUAUGUAAAAAAUGACUAAAAAUAAACACAAAGUCAUACACAGAUAUAUAAAAAUACAUAUACAGUAAGUUCCUGGGUUAUGAACAUCAGACUUCCAGACAACUCGUACUUGCCCUUUAAUGUUGUAUAAAUUUGCUGUCACUUUGAAAUGCUUGAAUCAACCCCUCUUCGCAACAAAUUCUUCAUCACAAUCACCUUCACUCGCUGCACGUGCAGCUUCUAAAUCACUGAAAAGGCUUCCAGCCUUUUCUUGCACUAAAUUAAGGCUAAAUAAGAACCGUAUGCACCUUUUCCAACUUACCUACAAAUUCGAUUUAAAGACACAGGAAUGGAUUUCAUUCAUAACCUGGGGACGGCCUGUACACACACACACACACACACAAUACAUACAUAUAUAUGUGUAUAUAAGACGGCACUGGGUGGGUCUGGUAUAUACACACACACACACACACACACACACGGGGUGGGUUAACCAGUAAGCAAGGUACGCACAGGCUUGAUUGUGUUUACUUAUUAAUCUGUAGUGCACGAUUUCACAUGAGUUUUACCAUAUCUGGUGAAAAACAUGUGGUGAAAGACAGAUGAAAUUGUACACUACAGAUUAGUAAGCACAAGCAAGCCUGUGUGUACCUUGUAUAUUGGUAAUAUGUCCCUGUAUAUAUGUAUAUGUAUACACACACACACAUAUAAAAAGAGGUAACAUGUUCAGCUACUAACUUAAAGGUUAGAGGUUCGAGUCCACCCUGAGGUGCUUUUGAAGAAAGCCCUGGCAAUCUACUUCUAAAAAUCAGCCACUGAAAACCCUAUGUAGCACAGAUCCUCUCUGACACACACGAGAUUGUCAUGAGUCGGAAUCAACUUGACAGCGACUGGUUUUUAUACACAGCAGUGGAUAUCCAUUAUUUGUACCUAUACAGCAUCCUGAUCUCCUUUUGGGGUAAUCACUACCCCUUAUUCACAGUUCUUGUAGCUUCAGUGGUAUUGGCUUUAACAUCCCCUCCUCCCCAUAUACACACAUUCUUAGGGUAGCUAUAUGCCUCACUCUUACCAAUCAGAGCUCAGGAUACCCCUGGCUGUAAUGAUUGGCUAAAGCUUGGGCACGUGACACAGCCAGGCCAAUGAAAGCCUUUCCUACAACUUUUGUUACUGCUAUGGGUAAAGAGACACUCUCUGGUGUCUGGAAUUGUUGAGCGGGUAGAGUAUCAGCCUAAACCAGCCAGCAGCUGUCUUUGCUGGUAGAGAGGGGAGAUCCUACUUUGGAAUAAAGCCAACACUGAGGAAAACAGAGGAGAGGGAGAGGCAUUAACAGAGGAAGAAAGAAAGAGACGGGAAGACAGAAACAGGCUGUGACCUUUGACGUUUAAAUCUCUGGAUCCAGCUAUGCCUGAGGGGCUGGAGUGGGGCGUGGGGCCCAGCCAACUUCUCCUUGUGCCUCCCCAUCCCCUGCAACAUUCUCCUUUACCUUCACAUCAAGGCCAGCCUCGAAGGGAGAAAGAUGAUGCAAAGUAGCGACCAGCACGGGUAUUCCAUUUUGGACCGAAAAUUUGGUGCCAUGUUUCUGCUGCCCGGGCAGGUGACGGAGCUCUUCUCGAUCUUCGGUGUCCUUGUUUCUUAUUGGCCCUACCUCCUGCGGUUCUAGAUGCUGCCCACAUUCCUUGGCUCAUGGGCCCAUUUUUCCACCUUCGGAGUCAGCAAUGGUGGGUUGAGUCCUCACAUGGCCUCUUCUUCUGCCUCCCUCUUCUACUUCUAAGAGCCCUUGUGAUUACAUUGGGCUCUCUGGAUAAACCAGGAUAAUCUCCUUAUCUCAAGAUCUUUAACUUAAUCAUAUCGCUGAAGUCUUUUUUUUUUUUUUUUGCCAUACAAGGUAACAUAUUCACGGGUUCCAAAGAUGGACAUCUUUGGGGGCCAUUAUUCUCCCUACCACACUUGGCAAUAUAGCACUGCUAAACAUCUUAAAAGAAAUGACUUGGACUUUUAUGGUUCAAGAACCAACCAUUCCCUUAACUGAAUUGGCUUCUCUCCCCUGGGACAAACAAGUUUCCACAGAGCAUUCUACUAAGAGCACCAUUGCUUUGGGAGUCAGACCAGUUCCAGGGAAGGUUCUCCUUCAAGGCCAUUCCUCUUUCCUGUGGUCGGGCAAAGUUGGGUUUCCCAGAAAGUGGAGUGAGAGCCGGGAAUCCCCUGGUGGAGAGUGCUGUUUUAUGGAUUCUGGCUGCUCUUGGAAGGACAUUUGAUUAUGUACCUUUAGGCAGAGGACAUUUUUGUUUGUUUUCUUACUAAUCAAAAGAACUUGAGAAUAUUACCAUCAUGAUGUAUAGGAAUUUCUUCUUCCAUUUUUGGUUUUGCCACAUCACCGCAAGCAUACUGAAAAUCUUUCUCUCUGAUUUUGUUGCUCCUCUUCUUCUGUUAGCACCAUCUCCUGCCUUUGUUUCUUCUUCCCUUGAAUCAUCCCCAGGCUACCCAUCAGCCCCCUAACAACUCUAGGGUUGGGGGCCACUUUUAUCUAGUUAAAUAGAUAAAUCUUUUAAGGGCAGAGAUAGUGCUGUCCGUCCUUGCUGUCUUGAGAUUUUGGGGGACUAUGGCAUUUAUCUCUAGUUAACCAGACCUCUAUUGUGUGUCAUAAAGCUGCAGUUUCCUCAUCUCAUUUAUACGCCGAGAAUAUUAAUCCUAUAGUGGGUAUAAUUGGUACCUUGCCCAUAUUUCCCCAUGCUUUUGCCCUGCAAUGCACACAGGCCUGAUUUAUAACUGCUGGCCUCUACAGCUCUUGGCCUUAGAGCUUCCUCUGAACCCUGAGCCCACUCUGCCUGCAUGCAGCAGGCCAGAGGGGCCAGACAAUGUAUGCCCACCAGGGGCAGCCCUCAACUAAUGACCGGUGAGAGUUGGUGGACAAACACCUCAGCCUCCAUGCCCAGGGUAAUUGAGGUACACAUUCUACAAUGCCUCCUCAAUUUCCUUGGGAGGAUUGAGCUCCAGUUGCCCGUGGUGCUAACUUGAUCGAUAACACACCUUUAUUGGCUUCCUUCCCUUCCUUGUCUCAUGUCCCCUCUCUUGCUGGGGUUUCCUGGGAUCCCUUCCCAAAUAAACAACUUGUGCUCACAUCCUCAUCCCAUGGUGUCCUUUUGGGGGAAUCUAAACUAAGACAAUAGAGUAUUAGCCAAUGUAGUGCUAGAAAAUGAGCCCCCUAGGUUGGAAGGCACUACACAAUCGCUGUAGCAAUAGCCUUAAAUACACCAAUGAUCACGAAGAUGGUGCAGGGCUGGGCAAUGUUUUGUUCUGUUGUACACAAGGUCGCCAUGAGUCGCAGCUAACUCGACAGCAACAACAACAAAGACAAAUGCUACUGAUUAGAAUUUGGGGGGAAGAUAAAGUAAGACAAAGCAAGUAAAGCUUAUAUUACAAACCCCUAGCAAUAAGGGAUGCUCAAUAAACGUUAAGUCAGCUGAGUGCCAUGGUUAAGAGUGCAGACUCAUGGUGUGUGCCCUGCGCUGCCAUUUCUUAACCCGAUGACCCGGGGCCAGUUCUGUAAUCUCGCUGGGCUUCACUUUCUUCCUCUGUCAAAGGGAGAUAAUCGUAGUGCCCUGUGGGUUGCGCGAAGGUUAAAGGAGAUAACAUACACAGAGCUCUCAGCACAUUAUAAGCACUCAAUAAAUGUUAGCUAUUUUUGUUGGUUUGCUUCCCCUACCUGUGGGCCAAGUGAGUAUUCUAGGCUCUUUUGCCUGCAAGAAGGACCAUAAAAGAAAAUCUCAAUUCAGAAAUCCUGUCAGGAAACAGUGAAAAGAGAACUGCAACUAAAGUUGAGUCCAUUAAAAAUCAAGACAUUCUAAAAUUUUGAAAGGAUUUUUGAGCUAGAAAGGAUGUCAGCAGUUAGCUUUGUCUCCAAUAAGCUCGAGCACUUGCAGGCAAAGCCCCUGAUCCAUAUAAGUGGCAGAAAUAUCAGCCUGGAAAUGAAAUGGUCUCUUAGAACCAAGCUAGACCCUAGUGGACAGAGGAUCGUUGGGAAAAAAAAGCCAUCAGUAAAAUUAGACCGUGCACUGUUAGACUACACCCUCACUUGUUUCCUUAUUUCCGAGCCCCUUGUGUUAGCUAGGACACCCUGGUAUGGCUGCUAACCACCACGUUGGCAGUUUGAAUCUACCAGGUGCUCCUUGGAAACCCUGUGAGGCAGUUCUACUCUGUCCUAUGGGGUCACUAUGAGUUGGAAUUGACUCAGUGGCAAUGGGUUUGGUUUGGGUUUUGUUUUGUGUUAGCUAAAGGGGCUGAGAGCCAGCAGUGAGGACAGACUCUUAGCUGCUGAUGUUUCCACCAGGCAAAGCAAUGGCACACAUGGUCUUUGAAAGCUUCUCUUGUCAACAAAACCCCAAGACCUAACUGAGCUCCAAAGUGAUAGAUUACAGAAGGAAAAGGGGAACCCAGUGUGGCCAGUGGACCCAAAGCAAAACCAAAUUGGCAUGGCUUCCCCAUGCUCCAAUGUCUAAGUUGGGUGCAGCCAUGCUAUACUUCAGUGCCAUGUAAUAUGCAGUCUUCCCAGGUCCAGAGCACUUGGCCUUGUCUGCUUUGUUCAAAGUGAGGGAGAGAUUUUCAAGUAGUCUUUGAAUUUGAUCGACUCAGUGCAGUCACUUAAAUGGAUAAUACAGGCCCUACAUGAAAGCCCAAGGAGCCCUGGUGGUGCACUGGUUAACCACUCGGUUGCUAACUGAAAGGUCAGUGGUUCGAACCCAUCAGCUGCUCUGUGAGAGAAAGAUGUGGCAGUCUGCUUCCAUAAAGAUUACAGCCCUGGAAACCCUAUGGAGCAGAUCUACCCUGUUCUGUAGAUUUGCUAUGAGUUGGAAUUGACACAACAGCAAUAGGUGCAUAAGAGCCUAACACUCGAGAGCUCCUUGGGAUAUUUGCAUUAUAAAAAUCCCAUCGCUCAUUUAUUCAUUCAUUCAAACAUCAUUUAGUUAGCAUCUAUGAUGUGUUUCCGUCUCAGUUUGGCUUCUUUCAGAGCUGAUCCUGAGAAAAGGCUUUAGUGGUUCUGUGGAAGAAUUCUCACCUUCCAUGUGGGAGAGCUGGGUUUGAUUCCUGGCCAGUGAACCUCAUACACAGCCACUAUCCGUCUGUCGGCAGAGGCUUGCAUGUUAACAUGAUGCUGAACAGGUUUCAGCAAAGUGUCUAGACUAAGAGAGACUAAGAAGAAAGGCCUGACAACCUACUUCUGAAAACCAGCCAAUGAAAUUCGUAUGGAUCACAGUGGUCUGAUCCACAAUCGAUCAUUGAGAUGGUGCAGGACCAGACAGCAUUUUGUUCCAUCGUGCUUGGGGUUGCCAUGAGUUGGGGGCCGAUUCUAUGGCAGCUAACAGCCACAGUUUAUUUGAGAGGUGAUCCCAGGAAACGGGAGUGCAGAAGUGAGACAGAGAAAGGAAGGCAGGAAGGCAAUAAAAAGUGUUAUCAAGCCCAUUAGCAGAGUGGGCAGCUGGAGUUUAAUACCACCGGGGAACUUUCUAAGCCAAUGUUGCACACAAGCUUUAGUUUUCCCAUCCAGGAUGUGGUGGGGUGGGGAGGGGAGCAGGUAACUGGAGUGUUUAUAUACCAGCUCUGUCAAACAUUGUUUGAGGGCUGCUGGGAGGGCAGUAAUUCCCCAGAACUUCCAGGCUGCCCAGGAGCAGGAAAGUGGGCACUGGGAGCCAGACAAAACACUCAGGCAAAGAUGCAGAUGCUGCCUAUUGGGACUGGAGAGGCCCAUGCUGAAGUGGUCAGGGCUGGGGGACCCAGGUGAGGCUCUGAUAACAUCUGCUAGACUGAGUCUCAUGCGGCGUUAGGAGCCCUGCCCUCAAGGAGCCUGCAGUUUGAAGAGGACAGCGGUGCAGUUGACGGUUACAAGUUAGUAUGACAAGUGCCUUGGUAGAAGCAAGCCCAGAAUGCUAUGGGAAUAGAGAGGAUGUGCUUCCAACCAUGCAGUUGCUGGGUGGUGCAGUUGAUGCACUUGGCUGUUAACCGAAAGGUUGGCUGUUCUCCACCCAGAGGUGCCUUGAAAGAAAGGCCUGGCAAUCUACUUCUGAAAAAUCAGCCAUCGAAAACCCCACAGAGCACAGUUCUUCUCUGAUGCACGUGGGGUUGCCAUGAGUCAGAGUCAACUCCACGGCCAGUGGUUUGGCUCCCAACCACAGGAUGUGAUGCAGAGGGACGGGGGAAUGCUGCCUGGGAUAGACGAUGCCGAUUCGAGUCUUGCAGGAUGAGGAGAUGUCUGGGAGAGAAAGGCAAGAACAAUUUUUCCAGGUAGGGGCACCAGCAUUUGCAAAUGCAUGGAGGUACAAGAGGGCAUUUUGACAAAUGUCCUUUAUGCCUUGUUUUUCAAAGCAUGCAUUCCAUUUUACCAACAGAAGCCUUUCUUCAGCUCUACAACACUGUCCGCCGUGCCCAUUAUUGGAUGUCUAAUGCACUCAACAAAUUCUAUUAUUUUAUGCUGGAUGUAUGGGGCUAUCUGUUAAUAUCUGACAGUUAUUACCCAGAAACUAAAUGAACCUUGGAGUGAAUAUUUUCUUUUCCUUAAAAAAAUAAAAUAAAAUAAGGAGAAAAGGUGAAACGUCAGAGAAAAGAGAAAAUCUUUUAAACCAUGAAUCUUCACAGAUGUACGGCAUACUUUUAAAAAACAUGAAAAGCUAUGAAUUUGAGACGGGGCUAGGAUACAUUCCCAAGAACGGCGUGGCUGUCUCCCAGACGCCUGCAAAUGGCUUAUCAAAGGCUCCAGCUGUGGGGCUGGGCUCAUUUGUCAAAGGCCUGACAUCUGAUGAUGUCAGAGUGCCAGAAGCUCUCCUGGGCCUGACUUAGAAAAGGUGUAUUGAGAGAGCAGGGUGGGGUCGCACCUCAGCAAACUCACAGGAUUAAUUUUUGUCACCACCUGCUCCUUUUCUGUGUCUCAGGUGGUUUGCUGGAAUCGCUGUGGUUGGUGGUAGUGGUGAGUGAUGGGUUCCUAAGUGCUUUAAACAUCAGAUUAAAAAGCACACCCAAAGUCUGAAUUGGCUGUGGGCAAUACUGUGAAGCAGGUAAGGUCUAUCUUCCGUGUUCCGUGCUUUUCCCUUGUUCUCCAUUUCUUUGCUGGUUAACAAGGCUCUACUGUGCUGGGGGUGGGGCGGCAGUGGUGGUUCAGUGGUAGAAUUCUUGCCUUCUGUGUGGGAGUUGUUGUUGUUGUUAGGUGCUGUUGACUCGGUUCCGACUCAUAGCGACCCUAUGCGCAACAGAACGAAACACUGCCCGGUCCUGCGCCAUCCUUACAAUCGUUGUUAUGCUUGAGCUCAGUGUUGCAGCCACUGUGUCAAUCCACCCCGUUGAGGGUCUUCCUCUUUUCCACUGACCCUCUAUUUUACCGAGCAUGAUGUCCUUCUCCAGGGACUGAUGCCCCCUGACGACAUGUCCAAAGUAUGUAAGACGCAGUCUCGCCAUCCUUGCCUCUAAGGAGCAUUCUGGCCGCACUUCUUCCAAGACAGAUUUGUUCAUUCUUUUCGCAGUCCACGGUAUAUUCGAUAUUCUUCACCAACACCACAAUUUUUGGGAGACCUGAGUUCAAUUCCCAGCUAAUGCACUGCAUUCGCAGCCACCCCCACGUGUCAGUGGGUACUUGUGUGUUUCUGUGAUGCUGAACAGAUUUCAGCAGAGCUUCCAGGCUAAGAUGAACUAGGAAGAUAGGUCUGGUGACCUACUUCUGAAAAUCAGACAAUGAAAACCCUAUGGAUCACAACAGUCCCAUCCACAAGCGAUCAUGGAGAUGGCACAGGACUGGGCAGCGUUUUGCUCCUUUGUGCAUAAGGAUUGCCACGUGACUCAACAGUGGCAGCUAACCACACUUCUGUUGUGCAGGGAGCGAGUGUGAAAAAGUUGACCAGAUAGUUUUUCUAUGGGACUAGUUUGAAUCUAUCAGCACCUUGGAAACCUAUGGGGCAGUUCUACUCUGUCCUAUACGGUCACUAUGAGUUUGGUCUUUUGUUUUUCUUUUUUGGAGGGAAUUACCAUUACCCCAAAACAGAUGGAUUUGCAUUUUAAGAGAACCGUGGGUGGGGAGCAAUGCUUAACCAAAGGAAUGCCUCAGUGAUGGAGGAAAUUGAGGCACAUUGGGAGCUGGAUUUUCUGGCUUUCAAAUCACACCAGAUAGAUGACUAUCUUGUCGGCCAAUUGUACAGGGGAGUUGGCGGCCACAAAUGUGCUCAGGUAUUAAUCUAUGGUGUUAGAAAUCAUAGUCUUGGGGGGUGGGUAGGAACUCUAAAGGGGCAGGGACUUCUGGGGUGCUGAUAACCUUCUGUUUCUUGAUCCAGGUGCUGCUUACGUGGGCAUGUUUGCUUUGUGAAAACCCAUCAAUUAUAAAAGGGAAUCCCAUGUAAACAACAGCAACAAAAAACAAACCCGUUGCCGUCGAGUCCAUUCCAACUCAUAAUGACCCUAUAGGACAGAGUAGAACUGCCCCAUAGAGUUUGCAAGGGGUGCCUGGUGUAUUCAAACUGCCGUCUUUUUGGUUAGCAGCUGUAGCUCUUAACCACUAUGCCACCAGGGUUUCCCCCAUGUAAACAGUUUACUUUAAAAAAGUAGUUUUGGAGUCUGGGAAAAGAAAAAAUUGGAUCAGGGAAACUGCCUUCUAGUUUUUGAGUGUUCUUUCCCUCGCACUGUACCAGAUGCUUAUAUAUUUAUCACCUUUCGUCUUCACAACAACCCUAUGAAAUGGGUAUAGUAAUUAUGUCCAUUUUGUAGAUGUGGACACCCAAGUCACAGAGAGGUUUGACCUCUUGCCCAAGACUGCACAGCCAGUUAAGAGCAGAGUAAGGAUUCAAACCCAGGUCUUUGAACUAUAAAGUCUGUGUUCUUUCAAAGGGGUAAGUACACAAGGGUAGUGGCCGAGCCUCCCUUUCCAAACAUGUUAGGUGGCUGUGGGAGAAUCCUAGUUUAGGCUGGGGUUCAAGUGGGUUCUAUGAUUGUCAGGAGGAGAAGAUCUGGGGAGGUGGCAGCUGGAUAUUGGAAGCCAGGAUGGCAGGGUUCAGGUUGGACAUUCCAGAGUGGUGACAGUGCUCAGAGUUUGGAGAGGAACUGAUAUGUGUUGGCUGGAACCCAGAGAAGCCAUGUGCUCAGAGGAAUGGUGAGCUGGCUCAGUGUUCAGUGCUGGAUAGGCACAGUUAGGGCAUGCCAAGGAUCUGAUGUUGAGAUGACUCAGUGUGGUGGUUUUAACCUGAAGUGGAAGGAGUCCUGGGAACCUAGUAUGUUCAAGAAUCAAAGAGGUGGAGGGAUGUUUCUGGCCUUCCUGGACCUACAGUUGGGAAGCAGGGUAAGUGGACAAGGAAGGUGUGUAUUUUACAAAGAUGGCCACGACUAUAGCUGUUAUCCCAUAUGGUCUUCUGCAAUGUGACCUGCCAGUCAACUAUCAAGUCUGUGUCUCCACCCCUUUGAACUUGGCCCAGACCUGUGACUCUUUUGACCAAUAGAAUAUGAUGGAAAUGAAUCUAUACCAGUUCCUGGUGUAGCUCUUAAUUGGCCUGAUGGUUUCCUCUUCCUGCCUCUUGGGUCACUCCCUCUCAGAACGUAGCUACCAUGCUGUGAGAAGCUCAAGCCACAUGUAGAUGAUCUGGCCAACAGCCAGCAUCAACUGCCAACCCUAUGAGUGUGUCAUUGGACGUCUAGCUCAGGUGAACUCCAGCCCCAGCCACCAUCUAACUGUAACCACUUGAGAGACACCAAGUAAGAAAUUUUCAUCUGAGUCCAGUCAACUCACAAUACUCCAGACACAAUAAUCAUUGGUUUAAGUCACUAAGUCUGAGGGUGGUAUGUCACACAAGAAUGCUGUUGUGUGCUGUUGAUUUGAUUCCGACUCAUAGCGACCCCUAUAGGACAGAGUAGAACUGCCCCAUAGGAUUUCUAAGGAGCUGCUGGUGGAUUCAAACUGCUGACCUUUUGGUUAGCAGCUGAGAUCUUAACCACUGCACUACUACCAUAUGCAUUACACAAGAAUAGAUAGCCAGAAAACAAAGACAAAGGCUCCAAAGGAUUGAAGUACUGGAGUGUUGGAGAUGCCAAACUGCGGUGUUGUUAGUUCCCAUUGAAUCGACUCUGACGCAUGGUAACCUUAUGCAUAAUAGAACAAAACACUGUGGGCCCUAUGCCAUCUUCAUGAUGGUUGGUGCAUUGGAAUCUAUCAUCGUGGCUACAGUGUCAAUACACUUCUUUGAGGGUUUCCUACAUUUUCGCUGACCUGCUACUUUAUCAAACGUGAUGUCUUUUUCUAGCGAUUGGUCUUCCCUAAUAAUGUGUCCAACAUGAAUGAGUCAGACUCUUGCCAUCCUUGCUUCCAAGGAGCAUUCUGGUUGUAUUUCUUUUAAGACUGUGGCAGUCCAUGGUAUAGUCAAUAUUCUUUGCCAACACCACAGUUCAAAUGCAUCAAUUCUUCUGUCCUCUUUUUUCAUUGUCCAGCUUUUGCAUGCAUUGAAAAGACCAUGGCUUGGGUCAGGGGCACAUUAGUCACGUGCAGUGUAAGAGGGAGGAAAUUUAAAAAGGCUGCAAGUGGAUUCAGGCUUACAUACAUAAGCGAACAAUGCUAGCCAGGCCAGGAGCCCAGAGAAUUGAGUUCCAGACUUGGCCUUGUCACUCACUAGCUCUGGAAUAUUCAACAAGUCGCCACCUCUCUGGGCCUUGGUCUCCUCAUCUGUAGAAUGGAGAUUUGUUCCACAAGCAGAAUAUUGUGCCUGGGUCCCAAUCGGGGCAGCCAGGACAAAGAGCAAUAUGACUCAGCCUCUGAGAUUUUGCACUGAUUCUGAGAUGAAGACAGGCACUGUGAGAAUGUUUGCAUGGAAAUGCACGUCAAAACCAAACCAAACCAAACCAAACCAGUUACCUUCGACUCUCUUCUAACUCAUGGUGACCCCAUGUGUGUGCAGACUAGAGCUAUGCUCCAACAGAAUUUCAAUGGCUGUCAUCUUUCAGAAGUAGAUUACCAAGCCUCUCUUCUGAGGCACCUCUGAGUAGAUCCAAGCCUAGUGCUUAAAAUGUUUAUGGCACCAGGGACUUAGCACAUUAUAUGUACUGAAUAUAUGUCCACUGUCGACGGCACUGGGUGGGCUGGGUCAUUAUUAUGGAAACCCUGGUGACGUAGUGGUUAAGUGCUAUGGCUGCUAACCAAAGGGUUGGCAGUUCGAAUCCGCCAGGCGCUCCUUGGAAACUCUAUGGGGCAGUUCUACUCUGUCCUAUAGGGUCGCUAUGAGUCGGAAUCGACUCGACGGCAGUGAGUUUUGGGUUUGGGUCAUUAUUAUGCUGUGCUUGGAGAUUUUCUGAAUAGCAUUUGUACCUUAAUUGCAGCUUUAAAAAGCUAACUGGGUACAACUUUGGAAAACUGUUUGGCAAUAAUGUUAAACGCAUGCUAUCUCAUGACCCAGCAAUUCCACUCCUAGGUUAUACCCAACGGAAAUGGGUCCUCAUAGCCACCAAAAGACAUAUAGGAGAAUGUUCACAGCCAUUUUAUUCAUAAUAGCCCCAAGUUGGAGACCAUCCAAACAUCGACCAACAGUAAAAUGGAUAAAUAAAUUGUGAUAUAUUCAUACAAUGGUAUACUACUCAGUAAUUAAAAAGGAAGAAAGAUUGUUUCACGCAAGAGCAUGUAUGAAUCUGGCAGACAGUGCAUGAAAGAAGCCACACACGAGAGGCAUAUGCUGCAGGAGUCCAUUUAUUAAAAACAGGCAAAAGUCAUCUACGGUGAUGGAGAUUACACUGGUUGGGGGUUAUUGACUAAGAGCGGCAAGAGGGGAGCUUCUGGGCUGCUGGAAAAGUUCCAUAUUUCGAUCUGGGUGGUGAUUGUGCAGGUAUAUACAUAUGUAAAAAUGUAUCAAGCUGGGCACUUGAGAUGUGUGCACUUGACUGUAUGUAAGUUAUACCUCAAUAAAAAAGUAAAUAAAGAGGGAAAAGCUCGC